GCCUCAGUCUUUUCCCCCUUUGCACUACAGUGUGCUACUGCUACUGCUGCUGCUGUUGGUGGUGGCUUGCUCGUCUGUGCAGUGUUUGGGGACGCUGUUUAUGGUGGUGGUGUUGCUGUUGCCUGCCUGCCUGCCUGCCUGUUACUACUACUGCUGUUUGGGGUGUUGUUGUUGGUUUGAGGAGCUUGUUGGUGAGAAACGAAGAAAUUACUUAAAUGGACGAUUACGAUUACGACAGAAGAGGAAGAUCUGCUGGUGGUGGUGAUGGUGGCGGUGGUGGUGGUGCUGGUGGAAGACGCGCCGGCAAAUACCGUGACCCCAAUGACAAUUACGAUGACGAUGAUUUUGAUAUACGAGAAAAAAGUGCACCCGGUGGUGGUGGUGGUGGUGGUGGUGGUGGCCAGGGUACCCUUCAACGAUUGGACAGCAUACAAGAUCCGGAAAAAAGAUAUGUUCUCAAGGAUGUUAUUGGUUCCGGGGUUUGCGGUGACGUUUACGAAGCGAUCGAUCAACAAGCUGGCAACAAAAAGGUUGCGAUUAAAAUACAAAAGCUUACACCGGAAACACAGGCCUUGAUCGUUGAGGAGUACAGAGUUUUGCGAGAUUUUGCUGGACAUUCAAACCUUCCUGACUUCUAUGGGAUUUAUCGUAGAAGAUCUGGAAAGAAAACGGAAUACGAUCAGAUAUGGUUCGUCAUGGAGCUUUGCGAAGGUGGAUCAGUAAUGGACUUGGUGAGAGGUCUCAUCGCUUCGAACAAAAAAAUGCGCGAGGAACACAUCGCUUAUAUCCUUAAAGAGGUAAUCAAGGCAUUGAUACACCUACACGAAAACAAUAUUAUUCAUCGUGACGUACGUGGCAGCAACAUAUUAUUGACGAAAGAGGGCGAAAUAAGGCUAAUUGAUUUUGGAUUAUCGAAAAUGAUUAAAGGAGAAUUAGGUAAAAGAAAUACUUGCAUUGGUUCGCCGAAUUGGAUGGCACCGGAAAUGGUUACCAGUAAGGCUGCUGGUUCUGAUAGCGGAUACGGAAGUCGUGCCGAUGUUUGGGCUGUUGGUAUAACUGCAAUCGAAUUGGCUGAUGGUAAACCACCCUUUCAAGAUAUGCAUCCCACUCGUGCAUUAUUCCAAAUUGUUCGUAAUCCACCGCCGACUCUCUACAGACAAUCCAAUUGGACGCAAAAUUUCAACGAUUUUAUUUCAGAAUGUUUAGAAAAAAAUCCUGACAACAGACCGUUCAUGGCGGAGAUCAUCGAACAUCCAUUUUUAGCGGAAUUACCGGAAAACGAUUAUUUGCUGACUCAAGAAAUAAAAGCAUUGGCUAUGGACGCUUUGGAAAAGGGUAAAGAAGGUAGACAACCGGAAACGAUCGUUCGUAAAAAUUUGUUAAAGACACAUCAAACGAAACCACCGGAAGCUAUGUUCACGGAGGAUCUCGCAGCUCUCGAAAUUUUAACGGAGGAUGCAAUAUUGGACGAGUUGCAGGAAAGAUUGCAACAAGGCCACUUUCAUACAUUUGUCGGGGACGUUCUUUUGAUACUCAAUCCUAACGAGAGACACGACAUUUAUGGACCGCAAGAUCAUACCAAAUAUCAAUGCAAAUCCCGUUCGGAUAAUGCACCACACGUUUAUUCGGUAGCAGAUAGCGCUUAUCAAGACGUACUUCAUAACGAGGAACCCCAACACAUUUUAUUUUCUGGUGAAAGUAAUUCGGGAAAAACGACCAACAUGUUGUAUGCCAUAGAACACCUAAUGUUCCUCGGAAAGAGCUUACAAGACACCGGAUCGAGAUUGUUGCGUGCUUUGAAAGUGAUUCAUGUAUUCAGCAACGCUGCUACACCCCUCAAUCCAAAUUCAACGAGAUGCGUGUUGCAAAUCCAAACGACUUAUGGUUCCUCUGGGAAAGCAUCCGGAGCAAUAUUCUGGCUUUAUCAAUUGGAAAAAUGGCGAGUUUCUACUCGUGACAGGAAUCAAUCGAAUUUUCAUAUAUUUUAUUAUUUUUACGAUGGCCUCGAUGCGGCCGGAAAAUUAAGAAACUAUAAUCUUCCAAGUGGUAGAAGAAUGCGUUAUCUACGAAUAAGCGACAAGGGUAACGAAAGGAAACGAUCUUUCAAAGUUAGAAACGAUCCCGAUGGAAACGUGACAAGAUUUGGAGUUAUGAAAGAAAAUUUGAAGAUCAUGGAAAUGGAGGAAUACUGCGACACAUUGUGGAAAAUAUUAGCUGCCAUUUUGUUGCUCGGAGAAAUACGAUUUGUCGAGGGUAACAAUGGCAUUGCUGAAAUGGACAGCAACGAAACAGCUAACAGAGUCGCGGAGUUGCUCGAUUUGGAUCCCAAAAAAUUUUCAUGGGCUUUAAUGAACUAUUGCUUGAUCAGAAAAGGUGCAGCCGUUCGUAAAAAACAUACCUGCGAGGAAGCAAGAGAAGCAAGGGAUGUAUUAGCGAAUACGAUUUAUCAACGAUUAGUUGAUUGGCUGAUUAACACGAUAAACCUCAAGUUCACGGUUACCCGUACUCUUUUUGGUGACAAAUAUUCCAUAAGUGUCCUCGAUCUUUUCGGUUUCGAAUGUUUCGCGGUAAAUCGUAUCGAACAAUUGUUCGUUAACACGACCAACGAACAAAUGCAGUGUCAUUACAAUCAACGAAUAUUUGCAUGGGAAAUGCAAGAACAAGAAGAGGAGGAUAUAACGAUUCAAAAAUUACAUUUUUACGACAACAAAGAAGCGAUAGAUCAACUGAUGGGAAAGGACACCGGAUUGUUUCACAUUAUAGACGAUGCUUCUAGACAAUUACAGGAUGUUCAAUAUAUAUUUGAAAAAAUCAGACAACGAAUACAAGGGGCUCACAUAAAACAGAUAAGCUCACACGAAUUUACCGUAGCUCAUUAUACCGGAAAACUCGUUUACGAUGCCAGCGAGAUCGCUGAAAAAAAUCGCGACUUUGUUCCACCGGAAAUGAUUGAAACUUUGAGAUUAUCCUCGUUCGAAACGGUCAAACAAAUGUUUACGAACAAAUUAACGAAAUCUGGUAAUCUUACGAUAGUGGUUGAUACACCGCAAAAGGAAGAAAAGAAAACGAAUAAAAGUAAAUGGGAAACUAUAAUGCAAGAAACUACGAAGCUUAGGAAAUACAAUACUGCAUCUAAGGGCCAAUAUUCCCAAACUCGUAAGAUGAGAACCUGCGCGGCAACAUUUCGAUCAUCAAGUUUAGAAAUUUUGAAGAGCCUUUCGUUGGGUGGUGGAAGCGGUGGUAUGCACUUUGUCAGAUGCAUUCGUUCCGAUCUCGAGGGUACACCGCAAGGUUUCUAUCGUGACGUAGUGAGACAACAAAUCAGAGCACUAGCCGUAUUAGACACUGCCAAGGCUAGACAACGAGGCUACCCUUACAGAAUAACUUUUCAGGAAUUCCUUCGAAGAUACAAAUUUUUGGCAUUCGACUUCGACGAGAACGUAGAAAUGACCAAGGACAAUUGUCGAUUGCUAUUAGUGAGAUUAAAAAUGGAAGGAUGGAUAAUCGGUAAAACUAAAGUAUUUUUAAAAUAUUACAACGAGGAAUAUUUGUCGCGAUUGUACGAGACCCAAGUGAAGAAAAUCGUCAAAGUUCAAUGCAUGAUGAGAUCAUUUUUGGCGCGGAAAAAUAUCGCGACCAAGGUAGUUAAUCUGAAGAAACAAAUUGUGAAGAAAGCGUCGAUAAAGAAAAAGGAACCGUCGACAGAGUUGUCUCAAGAGGAUGCAGCAUUGAUGAUACAAAAAGCGUACAGGGGUCAUGUUGCGAGGAAGGAAACUGCUCCGUUGCUGAAGGGGGAAAUGGAUCAGGAGACGAAGGACUUCAUCAAAUUCUACAGCAGCAAAUGGAGAUCGAAGACCAUAUUUCAAGUCCUCCUACAUUACCGUGCAGCCCGCUUUCAAGACCUCGUGCAUUUUUCGCAACAAGUUCAUUUGUUCAAUCAAGCGAUAGCGGUGACGCUAGAAGCGACGAAUGAACGCAUACCGUUAGAUAAAAUCGACCCGGGCAUCAAAGCAUCCGCAUACUUAGGCCAGACCAAACCACCCCAAGUUCACAAGUUACCCUUCGACAUUUAUCGCGAAAUGCCAUACUUCGAUACGAGUUACAUGAGCAAUCCUACGGGGAAAAAGAACAAGAAAACUGGAUCGAUGUCGUCAUCGGCUUCUGACGACGAGCACGAGCCCUGGGACGCCCCAUUAAGGAGACAAACGGUGGCAUGCAGCAACAUCGUCAACUCUCGUACCAGAGGUGCCUAUCGUUUUUCGAUACCAUCUUCCGGGCCGCGCGGUAAAAUGCUUGGGGGACGAUCCACGAUGCUAUUCCAACUGCUAUUCGCACUUCGUUCACGCACAAUGAAUACUACGUGAAGAUUAAGUGAAGAAUAUAACAGUAAAAAAGCAGGCCAAGCACUUAACAAAAUAAUGUCAACAAUUGAACGUCGAGGUUCAAACGACGAAUUCACCACAUCGCGUGGUGCAACAACGCCCAUCGGGCAGCGGGGGACAGAGUCUGAUCAACACUCCGUUUUCCAGAGACCCGAAUAUCCCGGUCCGAUGUCCACCGGAAGAUUCAACAACCCGGCCGAAAAUCAGCAACACCGGAUUACACCAAGCCGCG
rnacentral:misc_RNA from 1 species